rnacentral:sRNA from 1 species
CCAGUAGGAUUCUAGGGUUCCAGCCUGCAGAGGUGAUCGGACCGAGAGUUUCCGCCCUGCCGCGCAGGGUACACGGAGGGAUAAAAGCCCGGGAGAU